CCGCGGUAAUUCCAGCUCCAAUAGCGUAUAUUAAAGUUGUUGCAGUUAAAAAGCUCGUAGUUGAAUUUCGGGAUUGGCGCAUCGGUCGUGCCUUACGGGGUAUGAACUGGUGCAGUCAAUUUCUCACCUUCUGGAGAACCGCGAUGUCCUUAAUUGGGUGCCGCGGGGAACCAGGACCUUUACUUUGAAAAAAUUAGAGUGUUUAAAGCAAGCAAACGCUUGAAUACAUUAGCAUGGAAUAAUGAAAUAGGACGUUCGAUCCUAUUUUGUUGGUUUCUAGGGAUUGAUGUAAUGAUUAAUAGGGAUAGUUGGGGGCAUUAGUAUUCAAUUGUCAGAGGUGAAAUUCUUGGAUUUAUUGAAGACUAACUACUGCGAAAGCAUUUGCCAAGGAUGUUUUCAUUAAUCAGUGAACGAAAGUUGGGGGAUCGAAGACGAUCAGAUACCGUCGUAGUCUCAACCGUAAACUAUGCCGACUAGGGAUCGGGCGACGUUCCAAUUAUGACUCGCCCGGCACCUUACG
rnacentral:rRNA from 1 species